AAAACUAAAGGUUCCAGCUUUCUAUUGUUAGAGAGCAACUGCGCAAAGGGAAUACGGUAGAAGCCGUAGCGGACGCGCCGCUGUAACCGGGGACGAAAGCCUGAAUUUGCCACUGUCCAUAUAAAAUGGAUGGGAAGGACAGGCGAAUAGGAUGAGCCGGGAGCCAGAACACCUGCAGCUGCCAAGAAAUCUGAA
rnacentral:ncRNA from 23 species